rnacentral:rRNA from 1 species
AAUAGAUACCCGGGUAGUCCACGCCGUAAACGGUGAGUGCUAAGUGUUAGAGGGUUUCCGCCCUUUAGUGCUGCAGCUAACGCAUUAAGCACUCCGCCUGGGGAGUACGGCCGCAAGGCUGAAACUCAAAGGAAUUGACGGGGGCCCGCACAAGCGGUGGAGCAUGUGGUUUAAUUCGAAGCAACGCGAAGAACCUUACCAGGUCUUGACAUCCUCUGACAACCCUAGAGAUAGGGCUUUCCCCUUCGGGGGACAGAGUGACAGGUGGUGCAUGGUUGUCGUCAGCUCGUGUCGUGAGAUGUUGGGUUAAGUCCCGCAACGAGCGCAACCCUUGAUCUUAGUUGCCAGCAUUCAGUUGGGCACUCUAAGGUGACUGCCGGUGACAAACCGGAGGAAGGUGGGGAUGACGUCAAAUCAUCAUGCCCCUUAUGACCUGGGCUACACACGUGCUACAAUGGAUGGUACAAAGGGCUGCAAACCUGCGAAGGUAAGCGAAUCCCAUAAAGCCAUUCUCAGUUCGGAUUGCAGGCUGA